GAUGAACGCUAGCUACAGGCUUAACACAUGCAAGUCGAGGGGAAACGGCAUUGAGUGCUUGCACUCUUUGGACGUCGACCGGCGCACGGGUGAGUAACGCGUAUCCAACCUUCCCAUUACUGUGGGAUAACCUGCCGAAAGGCAGACUAAUACCGCAUAGUCUUCGAUGACGGCAUCAGAUUUGAAGUAAAGAUUUAUCGGUAAUGGAUGGGGAUGCGUCUGAUUAGCUUGUUGGCGGGGUAACGGCCCACCAAGGCUACGAUCAGUAGGGGUUCUGAGAGGAAGGUCCCCCACAUUGGAACUGAGACACGGUCCAAACUCCUACGGGAGGCAGCAGUGAGGAAUAUUGGUCAAUGGACGGAAGCCUGAACCAGCCAAGUAGCGUGCAGGAUGACGGCCCUAUGGGUUGUAAACUGCUUUUGUAUGGGGAUAAAGUUAGGGACGUGUCCCUAUUUGCAGGUACCAUACGAAUAAGGACCGGCUAAUUCCGUG
rnacentral:rRNA from 1 species